GGCUCAGAGUGGUACCAGGGCCUAUCUCAGGCCCAGGGAAGUUGACAGCCACUGAAGCCGGCUUGGGGGCUGGGGGCGUGGUAAAAUAAACACAAGUAAUUAGCUUUUGCUGAGAGUGCCGUUCUUCUCUUGUUCUGGAGGUGUGAGUAGUCUGUGCAACUUGCUGUCCUUCCCUGAGCUAAACGCCUGUGGAACGCCACUGCCAGCCCCACUGCAGUCGCUCCAGGGAACGGUGCCUGAGGGUUCCUGGCUAUUCAGGUCCAGUAACUCCUCUCCACUUCUGAAUAGUCUCUCCCUCCCCCUGCCGCUGAGUCCAUUUUCUAACUUUACCUUUGAUGUUCAGGGCUCCUAGCUUCUCAUAAAUAUAAUCGCUUCACUUGUUUUUUCUGGUCUUUUUUGUAAGAGGGAUCACUGGUGGCGUCUCAAUACUCAAAACUUCAUCAUUUCUUCCUUUCACUUUAGCUACUCGACAUUCAAGAGCAACGUUCAGAGUCUCUUCCGACAUCCGUUUUGGUCUUUUCUUUCUUUCCUGUCUUUUAAAGGAUCUCUUGCUUUCUUCAUGUGUGAUGUCCUUGAUGUCAUUCCACAACUCGUCUGGUCUUCAGUCGUUAGUGUUCAACACGUAAAAUGUGUUCUUGAGGUGGUCUCUAAAUACAGGUGAGAUAUACUCAAGGUCAUAUUUUGGCCCCUUUUGACUUAUUCUAAUUUUCUUCAGUUUCAACUUGAACUCCCAUAUGAGCAAUUGACAGUCUGUUUCACAAUUGAUCCCUGGCCUUGUUCUGACUGAUGAUAUGAGUUUUCCCAUCUUCUCUUUCCACAGAUGUAGUCAGUUUGAUUCCUGUGUAUUCCAUCUGGUAAAGUCCACGUGUAUAGCUGCCGUUUAUGUUGGUGAAAAAAAAUAUUUGCAGUGGAUGAGUCACUGGUCUUGCAGAAUUCUUUCAUGAGAUUUCUGGUGUCAUUUAUUUCAUCGAUGCUGUAUUUUCCAACUACUUUUCCUUCUUUGUUUCCAACUUUAACAUUCUAAUGACCAGUAAUUAUCAAUGCAUCUUGAUUGCAUGUUUGAUCAAUUUCAGGCUGCAGAAGUUGUUUAAAAUCUUCAAUUUCUUUAUCUUUGGCAUUAGUGGUUGGUGCAUCAAUUUGAAUAGUCGUAUAAACUAGUCUUCCUUGUAAGUGUAUGGAUUUUAGCCUAUUAGUGACAACAUUGUACUUCAGGCUAGAUCUUGAAAUGUUCUCUUUGAUGAUAUGUAACGUCAUUCUUUUGACUCUAGUGGAAUAUCCAUGUUUGUAAGACUGCUCACAGACUGUUUCACCAGAGAGUUUUCUGGUACCGCAACAUCUACCACUAAUCUCUGUGAUCCCUGUGAAUUGGCAAAAUAAGAAUAGUGCUAUAGAUUUCUUCCAAAUACAGAAAACAUAAGUAUGAAAAUGUUCUUGCUGUUGAUUAUAUUCUUUACCAAUCUGUUUGUGUGGGAUUUUUGGUACUUCACUUGAAAAAUGAGUCCAAGGUACUGUGAUGUGAUUGUUUACUUUGUGUGGCCUUUCUAGCCAUGGUCUUAUAACAUCCACCCUGGUGCUUGGGCAGGACUGUGUGAUAGGGUAAUUGUGGCUCACCAAGGGGAUUGUUUAUUUUCCCUUCAAAGAGAACCAGUUCCAGAGCAAAGAGGAGGAUUCAACUCCCAUCAAGGAAGAACAGCCAAGAGCCGAGCGUAUAUUAUGGACCUGAGAUCCCUGCACUGAGAAGCUCCUAGAAGCAAGAGACUGAGAUAGAGAGAGGAAGCUGUAACCCUGAAGAUGAGAUGAAAUGAAAAGGAAUUAAUGAAGACAGAUCACUGGAUUAGGGCCCAUACUCCGGGCUAUAACAGCAUGGGGAGUUUCUCCUGUCACUUCAGUUCUUGUUCAGGAAUUGGUACCUGCUUUUUGUGAAUCACAAAGACCAGUGCUGUAUAUCAAGCCAUUUAGAUUUGGGGUAUGGAGCAGUGAUGUAAAAAAAUUAAAUUUUAUUUUCAGAGAUUUUUUCUAUUGUUUACAUUUAUUUUAAUUGUGUAUUCUAAAACCCCUACAAAAAGGCAUGAAAUAAUUGUUUAAAUUUUAAUUCAUAUGGGUCAAAAUGUAUGUUAAACUACCUAUCGUCACCUUCACAGUUGUCGUUAUGUUUGAGCCAAUUGUUGUGGCCACUUGUUACCAAGUAUGACCUGCUUCUCCAGGGACUGAUCUCUCCUGACAACAUGUCCAAAAUAUGUGGGAUGAAGCCUCGCCAUUCUUGCUUCUAAGGAAUAUUCUGGCUGUACUUCUUUCAAGACAGAUUUGUUCAUUCUUUUGGCAGUCCGUGGUAUAUUCAAUAUUCUUUGCAAACACCGUAAUUCAAUGCCUUCAAUUUUUCUUUGGUCUUCCUUAUUCAUUGCCCACCUUUCGUGUGCGUAUGAGACGACUGAAAGCACCGUGGCUUGAGUCAGGCACACAUUAGUUUUCAAGGUGACAUCUGUACUUUUGAACACUUUAAGAGGCCUCUGGCAGCAGAUUUGCCCAAUGCAAUGUGUCGUUUGAUUUCUUGACUGCUGCUUCCGUGGGUGUUUAUUGUGGAUCCAAGUAAAAAUGAAGCCCUUAAUGACGUGAACAUUUUCUCCGUUUAUCAUGAUGUUGCUUAUUGGUCCAGUUGUUAGGCUGUUAGUCUGUAGUCUUUGAUCUUCAGCAGUAAAUGCUUUAAGGCCUCUUCACUUUCAGCAAGCAAGAUUGUAUCAUCUGCAUAUCUCAGGUUAUUAAUGAGUCUUCCUCCAAUUCUGAUGCCUUCUUCUUCAGACCAGCUUCUCAGAUUAUUUGCUCAGCAUACAGGUUGAAUACAUAUGGUGAAAGGAUACAACGGUGAUGCACACCUUUCUUGACUUUAAACCAUGCUGUAUUCCUUGUUCUGUUUAGAUGACUGCCUCUUGUUCUAUGUACAGGUUUCUCAUAAAAACAGUUAAGUGUCCUGGAAAUCUCAUUCUUCCCCAUGUUAUCCAUAAUUUGUUAUGAGCUGGAGUAGGUCUCAGAAAUAAUGUACCAUUUCUUCCAGUUGGUUGUGCAUGGCUGCCUACUUCCCUAGGUGGUAGCAGCUAAGGCCUGUCUCAGAAACACUCUCCUCCCCACUUAGCAUGAGUUUUCACACUGCUCCAUCUUCUUUCCCUUGUGUGUCUCCUGCCCUCCUCAGUGGCUGGGGAAAAUGAUAGUAGUCCACUGAUGAGAUUUAUUCUUUUAUUAUACUUUAUUUUAUUAUUUGUUUUUAUAACAUAGUUCUGUUAAAAUCAAGGGUAAUAAAAAUGUUUGUAUGAUGGAAGUGGAUAAUCUCACCCACUGUGUCCAUCUAAAGUUUCAUGAGAAAACUGUGCCCACAACAGAGGGCUCCCACUCCUCUGGCUCACUGUAUUUUCUCCUUGUUUAUUUGCUCUUCCCUCUUUCCUGAUGGAUGCAUGGAACCACUGAGCUUCAGGGCUCCACAAUUCUGCUUUUCAUACCAGUGUUACUGUAAUCUUGGGUUCAUGGGCUGCCUUGCCACAGAUUUACUCAUUCUGUUUCUGUUAAUUAUUUCAUUACUUAAAAAUCUCUCAUGAAUUUUUCCAGAAGUACAUUCUAUUCCUCAAAAACUUGGAAGCAAUGGGAAAGUAUGCAAAAAAAAAAACAAGAAAACAUACGUAAUGCAUAGAAUAAAUUAUUAACGUUCCGAUAUGUCUAUUUUUCUUGCUUAUAUUGGCAUGUAUGUGUAUUAGAGUCUCUGGUUGAUGCAAAUGGUUAAUAUCUUGAGCUGCUGACAGAAAGUUGGAGUUCAGGUCCACCCAGAAUUGCUAUGAAAGAGAGGUCUGGCAGCCUACUUCCGAAAACUCAGCCAUUGGAACCCCUAUGGAGUACAGUUCUACUCUGGCACACUGGUGUCAUCAUGAAUCAGAACUGACUCAGUGGCAACUGGUUUUAUGUGUGUAUUAGCACACACAGUUAUGUAUAUUAACACAGAUAUUAUAUCCUGAUAUUUUCAUUCAACAUUAGUCUUUUCAUGGUAAUUUUUUUUGUUUUUUUUUAAUGAGGGCAUUAAAUUACUUUAUAAUAUUCUGUGUGCAUGUAGUAUAUGUUUUUUAGCGAUUUGACUAUAGUUGCAAUAAUGUGCAUGUUUCUAGUAAUCUUUAAGCUAUACUUACAUCUUUUUAACAUACAUCUCUGCCAUUAAAUCUCUUUGUUUAAGUGUUGUUUAACACUCAUUACGCCUAAGGGAUGGUCUCAGAAGCAGCCCUGAUCAAUUUUUCUCCCUCUUACUCAUGAAGCCCCUUAAUGUAUUUCAAGGUAUCAACUACGAAGGAUUUUACGUCCUUAUCGUUUGUUUAUUUUUCAUUCAGUCAGUGUAUUCCAUGGGCCAGAAGUAGUCUAUGUUAUGCAGAUACAGUGGUGAAAGGUACACACUGUCCCUGUCGUCAUGAAGGGGACAACCCAGUGCAGGUGGGAGGAGCACUGGGGAAAUGCAGCUGAGAGGAAGGACAGACAACCCUCCAGGAACCACACUGGACUUCAGAGAGGCUUGUUGGCUGCUGUUCACCUGGCAGGCUUCUAGAUACCCGAGUACCCUUGGGCUUGGUGCCUACUCCUCUCUCUAUUGACACCCUCCCUCUAGGAUGCCUCAGUGAGUUUACUGCUGUCUAUUUGUAGCUAAGGACGUGAGGUUUAUACCUCCAUCCAUUCAAACUCCUCCUGGGUCCAGACUCAUAUAUUCAAAUGUCAGCCUAACUCUCUGUAAUGACCUCUUUAUGCAUUAUAAUGAUACAUUCCUCAUAUGGCCAUCAUGAAAAGCAAACAUGAAAGGAAAGCACAGGAGUGCCUGGCACCAGUGUAGGUACUCAAUGAACAUUAGCUGUUGGUAUUAUUCUUGACAUCUCCGUGUGGGGUGAAGUUUUAUUACCUGACAUCUCCAUGUGGGUAUCUAACAGCUGCACCAUGUUAUCUAGGCUAUGAAACAAUUCUUGGUUCCAACCACCAUUCCGUUCUUAUCGAUGAAUUUCUCAAGGCUUCGGUGAUGGGAGUGUGUGUUUUUCCACACAAUGGACAUGAUUAGGAAUGGUAGGCCAGGUCCUGCACAAUAAAUUGCUCCAACAUUCCUAUGGGUGACCAUUGAGACAAGUUUCAGCCACUGAAUGUAGCAAAGAAUUGGAACUACUCUCAGCUGUUCAUGUGAGUACUCUCAAUCCAGAAUAUCUGGUAAGUCGACUGUUAGGGAUUGAAUUGUGUCCCUCCAAAAUGUAUGUGGAAAUCCUAACCCCUGUACCUGUAAUUCUGACCUUGUUUGGAAAUAAGGGGCCUGCUUUUAUUAUGUGAAUGAGGUCAUACCAAUGUAGGGUGGGUCCUAAGCCUAACUCUUCUUAGUUAUAAAAGGAGCAGAAUACACACAGACACAAACAGGUGAAAAGGAAGACAGACAAAGAAGACAGAUGCUUCUAGAAGGCCAGGAACACAAAUGAUUGCUGGCAUCUACUAGAAGCUGAGGUAGACAAGGAAGGACCUCCCACUACAGCCAUGCCCUGAAUUCGAACUACUGCCUGCUAAACUGUGAGAAAAUAAAUUUCUGUCCUUUAAAAGCCAUCCAGUUGUGUUAUUUUUUGUUAUGGAGGGACUAGGUAACUAACACACAUACCCGUGCUUAUAAGUUCAGCCCAGUGCAGAACAGUUUUCUUCCCUCCUUGGUCUAGCCCACCUGAACCUGCUCUUUCCCUAUCAGUGUCCUUUGCUUUCACCUAAGAGCUAUGACAGAGUCCGCUUGAUGCUGACGCAUUGAAAUUUCAAUUUAUUUUUUAUUUAUGAUUACUAUUAAUUCCAAUAUUUUCUACGGUUUUCAAUGGAGACAGUCCUAUAAUCUAUGAAUAGCAGUUAUACUUUUUUUGUAUUAGCUUACACUUCCAGUGUUAAAUGUUUAAUAAAAAUAAUGAUAGAAGCAUCCUUAUUUUAUUGUUUAUUAAUUUUAAAGAGAAUGUCCCACACGUCACCAUGAACUAUCAUGCUAGUUGUAGUUUUCCACGUUCGGGAACUCCUUUUCUGUUCCAUGUUUACUCCUAGUCCUUAUCUCUCCGUGUGAUUGGAUUUUAUCAACCUGCUUUGCCCCCAUCUCUUGAGGUGAGCAUAUGUCUUCUCUUCUUUCACCUAUGCAUGUGGUGAAUGAAAUUACUAAAUCUUUAAUGUUCACUCAAAUUUGUAUGCCUACAAUAAACCGCCUUGAUCAUGGCAUGUUACGUGGUUUACCCUUUGCUGGAUUUCCUUUGCUGGCAUCUUGUGUAGGGUUUUGCAUCUCAGUUACUGAGUGUGCUUGUCCUCUAACUCUUCUUCUACCUUCUUUCUCUAAUUUGUUAUCAUUUUUAAACUAGCCAUAAGGAUCAAGUUAGGGGAGUGUCUCAUGGUUUUCUAAUCUCUGUUGACUAUGUACUAGAUUAAAAUGACUGUUUCUUGCAUGUUUGCUGGAACCUGACUGGAAACGAUCUAGGUCUGCCAUUUUCUUUGUAGGGAGAUCUUGAACUACUGACCCAUUUUAUUUAGUGGUUAAAGGCCUCUUCUGGUGCUAAUUUACUUGUAAAAAAUUCUGAUGCAUGUUCUAGAUUGCUCGAAUCUCAUCUUUAAAUAUUGAUUAUCAGGGCUUGUAGCCUCAUGCAAGCCAAUUAAUCAAUCCCAGAUUUCCCCAAAGUCAGGCCCUGCAACGAUUCCUGGUACCAAAUUCCCUCAUCUAAGACUUAUUUGCAAAGAAAGAGACAACAGUAUGCUAUCUACGCAGUUGUGUAUCCGCAGCCUUCUUGAGUCCAUAACGUGAGGUUACAGUCUUCUAAUACUUUUUUUGUAAUUGUUCUCUUUCUUAUUUUUUUUUUCCUUUUUUCACUGCCAAUACCGCCCCCCCCCCCCAGUCUAGUAGUUUUAAAGUUGUGCGUUUCAGGUUCAAGUCUGUAAUCCAGCUGGGAUUCUGUGUGUGCUGCAUGUGUGCAUCAAAAGAACACGCUUCUAGAAGCAGUAAGCAGGCAGUGGGACUGUUGGGUGGUUGGCGGGGCGGGGGGAGGGGAGCUGCUGCCCAGAGAGGGCGUCCGAGGGAGGCAGGAGAUGCCGGGCUGCCCACUGCAAGCCUGCAGACUCCAAGGGGGCGGAACCUGCGUGCGCCAUGAGCCUUUUGAGACAGGCCCUAGCCCGCCCAGCCGGGUGCUAACCUCGCACCCGCCAGGCUUGCGGGUUCCCCCAGGACUAGGGGAAGCCUGAGGCCAAGGAGGGCAAGACCUAGGGUCUGGACCUGGGAACUGGUUCUGCCACGUGUGAUCGCAGCACUUAUGCUGGGAAGGGGGGCAGGAAGCAUAUCGCAACGUGCGUCCGGACGAUGACCCAGAAGGGCAGGAGUUGUGGUCACCCACGGACUCUGCGUCUGCAUAUGGACGCCCCCCCAGGGUGCAAUUCCAGGAGCACAAGGCAAAGCCACAGAGGCCACAGUGCACCUCGCCGAUGCUCCCCAGGGGCAUUGCCCCAAAUCUGGGAAACAGUCCCUCCUCUGGGCUAGGGACUUUGUUUCCUCCAUUGUCAUCACUGACUGUGAGCAGACUCUUGUCUAGGCAGACUAAUGAGGAGUUAUCAAAAUGAGCUUAAAAGUCCGGAUUUGAGUUAAGGAUCAUAAAUUAACACAGAGAAAUACGACUUUAGCAAUAAGUGCCUGCUUGAAGCCCAAGUUGCCUGAAAACACGGAAUUUCAGUCUUUCAGCUCCUCUGCUAAUCUAGGGACUAAGAACUGGAUCUCACUGGAGCUCAAAGAUGUGGGGCACUGGAAAUACUCCUGGGUCUGUCUGCUCAUGGCUGAUUGCCUGAUUCCCAGUUUUAUUAUACAGCUUAAAUACAGACCAGAAGAGGAGUUUGGGGCUUGACACCUGACAUCUUAACACCAGUUCCUGUUUCUUGAGGAAGGAAGAGGUAAAAUAAAUCAGCGUUUACUGUUUCCUUCUCCAUCCCCGGAAGUCCUGAUGAAGACCCUCUCAGCUUCAACUUGAACGUGAAUAUGAGCAACUGAUCAUCUGUUCUGCAGUCAGCCCCUGGCCUGAUUCUGACUCAUGAUAUUGACCAAGUGAAGAGUGAUUCAGAGAAAAACAUGGGUAGAGUGUGACCUAAUUUCCAUAAAAACAAAGAAAUGAAUGUACUUACACGUGUCCCGGCAAAAAGAAGUGUGUAAAACGGUACAUAUGUAUCUUUGGACACUGGACACUUCAGGGGAGCAGGCAGGAGAUGCCAACAUAGUCUCAAGUGUCCACCUGAUCCAAGAAGCUCACUCCUCACCAGCAUCCCUCUCCAACCCAUUGUCCAGUCCAAUCCAUGUCUGAAGAGUUGGCUUCGGGAAUGGUUCCUUUCCUGGGGCAACGGAAGGUCUGGGGGCCAUGACCACCGGGAUCCUUCCAGUCUCAGCGGGACGCCCCUCCUGUGCUGUCCUCAGAAGGGCUCUUCAGGGACCGCACCCCUAGUUUGCGGAGCAGCAGAGCCUGCCCCAGUCUGGACCAGGGACUUUAUUUCUUCCACUCUCACCACUGGCUGAAGGCAGACUCCUGUCUCCACAGACUAAAGAGGAAUUAUCAAAAUGAGCUCGAAACUCUAGAUUUGAGUUAAGGAUCAUAAAUUAACACAGAGAAAUACAACUUUAACAACAAAGACCUGUUUGGAGCCCCAGUUGGAAUUAAAAAAAAAAAAACUUGAACAGAGGGAGUGAUAAAGUCUUCCUUCUUUUGCCACCCUCUCUCGGUGGUCCCAAGCUUUCUCAUCUCCCACCUCACAAGACUGUAUCAACUGCUUUGAGACUUUUAGAAUAAAGAUCCCCAGGCAUAUCACUGCUGUUACCCUGUGAGGAUUUCCCCAGUGCUGGGUUAGAGUAAGACAGAAUCCUUCCAAGGCUUCCAGGGCCUGUGUACUGGACGGUCAGCACACGGAGCCUCAGAGCCCACUUCGUUUUUCCUGUAGUUGGGCAUGACCCCAGGGACAUGACCCUGAGAGUGCUGACACUUCCUGAAGCCAGUGACCCUCCCCCUGGGCUUCUCUCUGCAUGGGUCUCAGAAUCUCUGAGGCCAACUUGUACCCUCGGAAGUGUUUCUGCUGAAGGACACGUAAACAGCACUGUGGAUUUGUGUCCUGCAGUCUGCAAAACUGCCUCCCCUGAGUGGGGUGAGGAGCUACUGAAAUACUGAAAUCAUUGAAACUAGCAGAAGCCACAGCUCAUGGUGCUGGGAGAAAACUGGGAAGGACGGAGAGGUGAAGAGGCUAUAAAGGCUCAGUUGUGAAGGUGAUCAUGGGCCAGGAUGUCCUGAAGUCGCAAAGCUGACCAAUGCUGAGUGCCCUAAAACCUGCUACUCCUGUGCCCAUCUCUUCUUUCAAUGGACAAAGUCUUCCCCUGCUCUUAUGUGCCUGGGCUGGAAGGGCCUUUGACUUAGAACAUGAAGCAGCCUCCAGAGCCUCUUGGGGCAAGUGAUGGUCAAGGAGGCUCUGCCUAACCCCACCCUGCCCUUCCCACUUGUCAGAGGACCAGGAAUUUCAGUCUUCCAGCUCCUGGGCUGAUCUAGUGACUUGUAACAGGAUUUCUCUGGAACUGGAAGGUGUUGAAGACAGGAAGUACUCCUGGGUUUCUUCACCCAGCUGAAUGCCUAGUUCCUGGUCUUAUUACACGGCUUACAUUCAGGAUAAGAAGAGGCAUUUGGAGCUUUACGCAUGACCUCUUAGCAGAGGUUUCUGUUCAGGAGCGAAGAGGUAAAAAGAAAGCAGUGUCUACUAAAUCCUUUUCCAAGAGUCUCAGGAAAUUCUCACGAAGACCUUCUCAGGUAAGGACUGACGGGAAAUGCCUUGGUUUAAUAUUAAACUUUGCCCUUGACACAUUUUGUUUAUGGAGGGCAUAUACAAUGUUGUCCGCUCAAGGAAGCACUGUAGUUCUUAUCUAGACUUUAUGUAGAAUGAGUAUAUAUAAAACCUAAACUUGGUCCUUAAGCAAGGGGUUACCUCUCAGAGAAGGCCUAUGGGAAGGUUUCUACGAAAUUCUGUGGUGCUGCCAUUGCUCCAAGGAGCCCAGGUGGUGCCAAGUUUGAGCACUCGGCUGUUAACCGAAGGUUAGUUUUUUGAACCCACCAAAAGGCUCUAAGGAGUAAAGACCUGGCGAACUGCUUCCGUUAAGAUUACAAACCAGGAAACCCUAUCGGGGAAGUUCUCCUUUUACACUGGGCCACAAUGACUCAGAAACCCACUCGAUGGCACCUAGCAAUAUCAACAGGAAGCCGUUGCCCCCCAUGUGCUUGAAGUGCCUCUCUGGGGAAGGUUGGCCUUCAGAACCAGCUCAUGGCCACACGGGAACUGAGACUCAUGUUUUGUUACCACACCUUAGUUUCAGUCAGUAAAUUUAUUUUCCAGUUUGUUCACUAGACUUGACUACAGACAUCUCUCAGGUAUUGUCAAAAUUAAUUCCAUUCUCUAAUAAUGAUUUGCCAGGAUGUAUUUCCAAGCAUUUCCAAGAGACUGGAAAAACUUUCCAAAGAGGCUUGUUCAGUGCCAUGUUGUGCAGUAACUACAGUGUUGACAUAGUAUAUUUAUCCACAUAGUUUCCACGUUUUCUGCUUUCCAUAAAUACAACUGAAAUUCCAAGUCUACCACCUGAAGUACUUCCUUUAGUGUUUCACUUAGAAGUCUGGUGGUGAUGAAUUCUCUCAGUUUUCUUUCCCCUAAGAAUGGCAUUAUUUGUGCUUUACUCCUGAAGGUAAUGAUUGGACAUAGAAUUCUGGGUUAAUAUUUCCAUCUUUCAGGGUUGAAAAAAUGAUGUUUCACAAUCUUUUUUUUUUUUUGGCUUCCAUGGCUUCUGAUAGUGAAUACAGAGUCAUUCAAAUUAUUUUUCUCAGGUGAAAUGUGUUGUUUUCUCUCUACCUCCUUCCUGAGUAUUUUCUUGACCUUUGUUAUUCUGCAGUUGAUUAUGAUGUAUGGUAUUUUUAUGCAAGUAACCCAUGUUCUAUAUAUAUAUAUAUAUGUGUGAACUGUUUUUCCCCUCCCGGGUGUGUCUGUGAGUACAGUAUACUGUUUUUUUCUUUUUACAUGCUGCUGUUAAAAAAAAAAAAAAAAUUAGAGUAAUGUACUUACAAAUAUACUUGGGAUGUGGGGUAAGGCCCACUGGGUUGGCAAAAAACCCAUAACCCACAGAAUAUUUUUGUGAAAAUUCGGUAUUGGGGCAUGGAAUUCUUUAACUUGCUGUGGUUUGCUGAACUUCUUGAAUCUGUAAGUUUAUGUCUUUCACCACAUUUGGAAAGUGUUCAGCCAGUAUUUUUUCAAAUACUAUUUUCUUCACCACACAUUUUGUCCACUUCUUCUGGAGUUCCAAUAAAUAAGCUUUUUGUCUAGUUCUUGAGGCACUGUCCAUUUUUUUCCAUAUUUUCCUCUCUGUUUGCAGAAUGGAUAUUUUCUACUGAUCUAUUUCAAGUAUUUAGUUUUUUUCUCUGUCAUCACCAUUCUGCUAUUGUGAAAAUAUCAACUGAAUUUUUUAUUCCUACGAUUGUACUUUUAACAUGUAAAAUUUUCAUUUGCAAAUAGCACCUAUUAUCUUUCCAUUUAUUUAAAAAGUGUCCCUGUUAUUUCUUGGAUUAGAAUAGCAUUUUAAAAUCUGUUUCUUAUGAUUUUGAGAGUACAAGUCCUGCUUAAAUUUUAUGGAGAAUUUUUUUGUUUUUAGCAGUCGAUUGACCCAGUUAUGUUCAGGCUCCAAGUUCUGUCCCAUCUUUUGUAUUCUAUGGUUCAAAUGUUAGUUCAAUUUUUGAAGGGUUUGCAGGUGUAUUUAGGUCUAACCUAUGUGAGCGCCACUCAGUAUGGAACCUUGAUGGCAUUCUAACCCAUAGUGCGGGUCUUAAAGGAUUUGAUAAUGCUUCUUAGGGUCAGGGCAAUGGAUACGCACCUGGGGGGUGAACCAGGAGUUCAUAGCAAGUCUGCAGAAUCUCUUUCUUGCACAGCCUCCUCUUUCUCUUCUGCUCUCUGAGUUCAGAAGGAGUGCUUUCCUGGCCCACUGGCGGGAAUGCUGGGGCUUUAAUCUCCUCAUUCUGUUGUGCACAUCAGUGACUGGUUCUGCCUAUGGGGCCAAAGCACCGGACAACCAGCCAAAAGGCUGGCACUUUGAACGUGUCAAGAAGCGCCUCAGAAGACAAACCUGGUGAUCUGCUUUUGAAAAGUCUCACCCUUUGAGGCAGAAUUGACUAGGUGUCAGUUAACAGCAGAGAGAGAGAAAAUGUAAUGGAGCUUUCUCUACAAUAUUUGGUUCUUCCAUA